rnacentral:tRNA from 1 species
GUCGCUAUCGUCUAACGGUUAGGACAUCAGGUUCUCAUCCUGGAAAUCGGAGUUCGAUUCUCCGUAGCGAUACAA